rfam:Triticum aestivum genome assembly, contig: Triticum_aestivum_CS42_TGACv1_scaffold_320293_4BL
CAGACGCUCCCUCCAUCCCAAAAUUCUUGUCUUAAAUUUGUCUAGAUACGGAUGUAUCAAGUCACGUUUUAGUAUUAGAUACAUCCGUAUUUAGACAAAUCUAAGAUAAACAUUUUGGGACGGAGGGAGUACAUG